rnacentral:rRNA from 1 species
CUUAGUGGCGGACGGGUGAGUAACGCGUGGGGAACCUGCCCUGUACAGGGGGAUAACACUUAGAAAUAGGUGCUAAUACCGCAUAAGCGCACAGUAUCGCAUGAUACAGUGUGAAAAACUCCGGUGGUACAGGAUGGACCCGCGUCUGAUUAGCUGGUUGGCGGGGUAACGGCCCACCAAGGCGACGAUCAGUAGCCGGCCUGAGAGGGUGAACGGCCACAUUGGGACUGAGAUACGGCCCAAACUCCUACGGGAGGCAGCAG